ensembl:lncRNA
GCUCUUCCCACAGGAGUAUGGCGGCGUUACUUCACCUCGUGUUACCUCACGUCACCUCCCUUCGCCUGGCCAGUCCCCGGGGCCCCAGGAAACACAGUGCGGUGGAACUGAGUCAUACAGUGCGGUGGAACCGAGCCUUUGUGCCCUCUUUGGUUUGGGGAGUAGCCACAGUGCAGCCCUGCUCCGCCCUCACACCACUGCAGCACCAAACCUGUGGUAGCGCUCGCCUUACUGCCAAGUGAGGCAAAAGGGUAGGAAAGGUCUGUACAAAUUGCUGUUAAACCUCAAAACACAGGUGUAGAAGUCACGCCUGGUUGGACACAGGAGCUCAUUACAAAGUAGCAUUCUGUCUUCAUAACUGUUUCCUGACCGGUCACUGCCUUCCCCAAGUUGUAGGUGGGCUUGUUGGGUUCCUCCUCAAGGCCUACAAGAGGAUUUCCAGAAGAGGAACAACAAUGCAGGAAAGCAGACAGAAGGGUGAGGCACAUGCACUGGCUGAAGCAGCACAGCCCAUCUGAGCACGGCAUGCCCAGGAACCUGGGAUGCUCUGAUCCAGAAAGACCAGGAACUGACAGAAACCCAUGGGAGAACCAUGUACAUUAAAGCUGCCUCAGGAAUAUUAACUGAUUUAACAUAGUGCCCUGUUUUCACCUGGGAUAGAGUUUUCACCAAGCACUGAAGACCAUCUUUAAAUACUGCCUAUGUGGGGCAGUGAACAGUCAUUGCAGCUCCUUGGAUGAAAUUAAAGGAGUGAAGUCAGUUAAGUGAUAUGAUCAGGAUUCUGAGAUUAUUUCUUUGCAUACAUUCACUUGCGUUCUCUAUCAACUUGUUUUCAAUGUGAGUUUUGAAUGAACCCACAUGAGGGAGGAUUUUCUUCACAAUAGAAGUGGAAAUUUGUUGGCUACUUCUGUUGGCAAGUCACAGGACAAAGCACAGUGCCUGGCUAUCAUGGUACUUGCAAACCUUCUGUCUUCUGAACAUCUCAGUGAAAGCUCUGGGAAAUCUAAUUGAAUAUAAGAACAUAUUGAAUGGAUUAUCAAGUGUAGCAUCCUCUCACUAACAGUAAGUGCUAUAUGUUUAUGUGAAUAAUGCAAGAACUGGUGAAUGUAGAUGGCGCUUAGUCCUGAGAUAUAUCUUUCUCAUAUUCAGUUUUAUGUGAUUUGGUGGCUUGGUUCUAGAGUGCUGAUCUUACAGCUUUUGUUUAGGAGUCCUGGAAGGACUUUGCUUUUAUAAAUUUACCUGGUUGCGUUUUGAAUCCUUUUAGACUGGCUUACACAACAUACCUUGUGGUGAUGUAUUCUGCAUUGAACUGUUGUGUGUUGUGCUGAAAAACACUUAUUUUGGGGUGUUUUAAAUUGUCUCCUUUAAAGUACUACUAGUACAAAUGUCAUGGAAAUAGUGUAUAAUAAUUUACUGUUACUCCUUUCCUUGUCAGCUCUGAAUUUUGAGAUCUUUAGAUUUCUUACCACACUGUUUCUUUCACUAUGCCAAAGACUUUGCAGCAUACAUAUUUUGUCCUUCUUCAGAAAUUGUGCCAUAGAUUUUCAAUUCUGCUCAAUCUUUUCUGAAAUGGAAGAAGAGGAACCAGCACUGUAUAUAGUAUUGAAGAUGCUAAACAGCCAAGUUUUAUGUCUUUUUUUUUUUCUUGGUUCACUUUAUAACAGUUCUAAACACAGUCUGAUUUUUGAGCACUGCUGAACACUGAGCUGGUACUGUAAUUUGCAGCACAUCCAUCAUUUGUCUAUGGUUGUUGUCUAUCUGAACACAACACCAGUUUUGUUGUCCCCACUGCUAUUCUCUCUUCCAUCACAGACUGGGAGGGGACAUAUCCUUGAUUUCAUACUGUAGCACCAGGAAAAGCAAGCUGGGUGAGGACUCUUGUUCUUUGUUGUCUGCCCUUCAUUGUUUCUAUAAAUAAAGUAAGGAUGUUGGUCUCCAG